rnacentral:rRNA from 1 species
UGCAGUCGAACGGCAGCACGGGAGCUUGCUCCUGGUGGCGAGUGGCGAACGGGUGAGUAAUGCGUCGGAACGUACCGAGUAAUGGGGGAUAACGCAGCGAAAGCUGUGCUAAUACCGCAUACGCCCUGAGGGGGAAAGUGGGGGAUUCGUAAGGACCUCACGUUAUUCGAGCGGCCGACGUCUGAUUAGCUAGUUGGUGGGGUAAUGGCUCACCAAGGCGACGAUCAGUAGCGGGUCUGAGAGGAUGAUCCGUCACACUGGAACUGAGACACGGUCCAGACUCCUACGGGAGGCAGCAGUGGGGAAUUUUGGACAAUGGGGGCAACCCUGAUCCAGCCAUUCCGCGUGAGUGAAGAAGGCCUUCGGGUUGUAAAGCUCUUUCAGCCGGAACGAAACGGUACGCUCUAACAUAGCGUGCUAAUGACGGUACCGGCAGAAGAAGCACCGGCUAACUACGUGCCAGCAGCCGCGGUAAUACGUAGGGUGCGAGCGUUAAUCGGAAUUACUGGGCGUAAAGCGUGCGCAGGCGGAUUGUUAAGCAAGAUGUGAAAUCCCCGGGCUUAACCUGGGAAUGGCAUUUUGAACUGGCAGUCUAGAGUGUGUCAGAGGGGGGCGGAAUUCCACGUGUAGCAGUGAAAUGCGUAGAUAUGUGGAGGAACACC